UGUUCUUUCGGUUUUGGAAUACGCAUAAUCACGACGCACCCCGUAUGUCACUCUCUUUUUCGCGCCCUACCGAUAGAUCAUUAAUUAUUGUGAAAAGUGAGAAUGAAAAU
ensembl:ncRNA R07B1.15 ncRNA